rnacentral:lncRNA from 1 species
ACUCCAAGCCAAGCUUGAACGCAGAGGAAGGACAUCCUGAGUGCUUUGUUUUGUUUUAACAGAGUAGAGGAUCAAAUCUGAGGCCUCCCUCCCACACGCUUGGAGGAGUCCAGCUUUGAGCUUCAAAUGCCCCAGGACAUCCUGAUUUCCUUAUCUGAAGUCCUGAGGUUUUUCAGUUUGGCUUUGCUUUAGCCUUAUACUUAAAAUAACCUCGUGCAGAGGGCUACAUUUUAGUACAAUGGAUCUCCUUUCUAACAAACAGCCAAGAGAUGUAACUUUACAGCAGGGGAUUUUCAGAAUUGGGAAAUCCCUGCAAGCCAGGAUAUAGAGUGUUUCUUCCGGGUGCACUGGUUAGUUUGUGUCUUGGGAGUUGGAAGAUGGGCAGUAGGCUAGCUCUGCCUCCUGCUGCUUCUUGGGUUUUCCUUUUGUCCUCCUCCGGGCUACAUAAGUUAAAGGAAAUGAUAAAGGCAUCGAAGGCCUCUGUUAAUGAUGUCAGUGUUUGCAUAAACAUUAACCCAUUGUGCUUUGCUGUCUCAGAGGCCCUUUCUUUGCGCUCCAGACCUUGGUCAGGGAAGCUGUGUAAAGUCUUUUGGUUAUUUAUGAUCACUGAAGAAUUUGCUAGUGUGUUCAAGUAUUUUACUUUCAGAAAAACAAACGACCUAUCUACGUGACUGGGUGUUUUUACCAGACUCUCAGGCGUUACGGGAGUUACUGUUCUUUUUCCUCCUCCUCCUCCUCCUUCUCCUCUUUUUUUUUUAAUAAACAUAACC